rnacentral:rRNA from 1 species
CAGUAGCCACGGGAAUACGUAGGGUGCAAGCGUUAAUCGGAAUUACUGGGCGUAAAGCGUGCGCAGGCGGUUAUAUAAGACAGAUGUGAAAUCCCCGGGCUCAACCUGGGAACUGCAUUUGUGACUGUAUAGCUAGAGUACGGCAGAGGGGGAUGGAAUUCCGCGUGUAGCAGUGAAAUGCGUAGAUAUGCGGAGGAACACCGAUGGCGAAGGCAAUCCCCUGGGCCUGUACUGACGCUCAUGCACGAAAGCGUGGGGAGCAAACAGGAUUAGAUACCCCCGUAGUCCCUGUAUCUUAUAC